rnacentral:rRNA from 1 species
UGGGGAAUUUUGGACAAUGGGCGAAAGCCUGAUCCAGCAAUGCCGCGUGUGUGAAGAAGGCCUUCGGGUUGUAAAGCACUUUUGUCCGGAAAGAAAUCCUUGGCUCUAAUACAGUCGGGGGAUGACGGUACCGGAAGAAUAAGCACCGGCUAACUACGUGCCAGCAGCCGCGGUAAUACGUAGGGUGCAAGCGUUAAUCGGAAUUACUGGGCGUAAAGCGUGCGCAGGCGGUUUGCUAAGACCGAUGUGAAAUCCCCGGGCUCAACCUGGGAACUGCAUUGGUGACUGGCAGGCUAGAGUAUGGCAGAGGGGGGUAGAAUUCCACGUGUAGCAGUGAAAUGCGUAGAGAUGUGGAGGAAUACCGAUGGCGAAGGCAGCCCCCUGGGCCAAUACUGACGCUCAUGCACGAAAGCGUGGGGGAGCAAACAGGAUUAGAUACCCUGGUAGUCCACGCCCUAAACGAUGUCAACUAGUUGUUGGGGAUUCAUUUCCUUAGUAACGUAGCUAACGCGUGAAGUUGACCGCCUGGGGAGUACGGUCGCAAGAUUAAAAC